GAGGGUAUAGCUCAGUGGCAGAGCACAUGCUUAGCUUGCACGAGAUCCUAGGUUCAAUCUCCAGUACCUCCA
rnacentral:tRNA from 1 species